AGUGAACGCUGGCGGUAGGCCUAACACAUGCAAGUCGAACGGCAGCACAGUAAGAGCUUGCUCUUACGGGUGGCGAGUGGCGGACGGGUGAGGAAUACAUCGGAAUCUACUUUUUCGUGGGGGAUAACGUAGGGAAACUUACGCUAAUACCGCAUACGACCUACGGGUGAAAGCAGGGGAUCUUCGGACCUUGCGCGAUUGAAUGAGCCGAUGUCGGAUUAGCUAGUUGGCGGGGUAAAGGCCCACCAAGGCGACGAUCCGUAGCUGGUCUGAGAGGAUGAUCGGCCACACUGGAGCUGGGACACGGUCCAGACUCCUACGGGAGGCAGCAGUGGGGAAUAUUGGACAACAGGCGCAAGCCUGAUCCAGCCAGACCGCGUGGGUGAAGAAGGCCUUCGGGUUGUAAAGCCGUUUUGUUGGGAAAGAAAAGCAGCAGGUUAAUACCCCGCUGUUCUGACGGUACCCAAAGAAUAAGCACCGGCUAACUUCGUG
rnacentral:rRNA from 1 species